rnacentral:rRNA from 1 species
AUUAUAGAGUUUUCUAAACUCCCAACCCAUGUGAACUUACCAUUGUUGCCUCGGCAGAAGCUACCUGGUUACCCUACCUUGGAACGGCCUACCCUGUAGCGCCUUACCCUGGAACGGCUUACCCUGUAACGGCUGCCGGUGGACUACCAAACUCUUGUUAUUUUAUUGUAAUCUGAGCGUCUUAUUUUAAUAAGUCAAAACUUUCAACAACGGAUCUCUUGGUUCUGGCAUCGAUGAAGAACGCAGCGAAAUGCGAUAAGUAAUGUGAAUUGCAGAAUUCAGUGAAUCAUCAAUCUUUGAACGCACAUUGCGCCCAUUAGUAUUCUAGUGGGCAUGCCUGUUCGAGCGUCAUUUCAACCCUUAAGCCUAGCUUAGUGUUGGGAGCCUACUGCUUUUGCUAGCGGUAGCUCCUGAAAUACAACGGCGGAUCUGCGAUAUCCUCUGAGCGUAGUAAUUUUUAUCUCGCUUUUGACUGGAGUUGCAGCGUCUUUAGCCGCUAAACCCCCCAAUUUUUAAUGGUGACCUCGGAUCAGGUAGUUUUCUCAUUCUAUUAGUGGAGCAAAAGAAACCAACAGGGAUUGCCUUAGUAACGGCGAGUGAAGCGGCAACAGCUCAAAUUUGAAAUCUGGCCCUCGGGUCCGAAUUGUAAUUUGUAGAGGAUGAUUUUGGUGCGGUAUCUUCCGAGUUCCUUGGAACAGGACGCCUUAGAGGGUGAGAGCCCCGUACGGUUGAAUGCCUAGCCUCUGUAAAUCUCCUUCGACGAGUCGAGUAGUUUGGGAAUGCUGCUCUAAAUGGGAGGUAAAUUUCUUCUAAAGCUAAAUAUUGGCCAGAGACCGAUAGCGCACAAGUAGAGUGAUCGAAAGAUGAAAAGCACUUUGAAAAGAGGGUUAAAUAGCACGUGAAAUUGUUGAAAGGGAAGGAUUUGUGACCAGACUUUUUCUGGGCGGAUCAUCCGGGGUUCUCUCCGGUGCACUUUGCCCAGUAAAGGCCAGCAUCGAUUUUCGGCGGCGGAUAAAAGCAGUGGGAAUGUGGCUCCCUACGGGGAGUGUUAUAGCCCAUUGUAUAAUACGCUGCUGGGGAUCGAGGUACGCGCUUCUGCAAGGAUCCUAGCGAGACCUAAACUGAUCACCCGUCUUGAACACGCGGAGACA